UUGUCGCAUUAAGCGGAGGAGCAGAUAGCCUUUGUCUUUGGUAUCUUUCUUACCUUUCUGGUUGGUUUUCUGAGGUUAUUGCGGUCACUGUAGACCAUAAUUUGCGUUCUGAAAGUUGUAUAGAGGCUAAAUAUCUAGAAGAAGUUGUUAACUAUCACGGUGGGAGGCAUUACACUUUGCUAUGUCGCUGGGAACCCGAAGAAAAAAUAAAUUCUGAGCUUUCUAGAAAUAAGCGAUAUGAUCUUUUGUCUCAGUUUUGCGCUGAGCACUCUAUAGAAACCCUAUUAGUAGCACAUCAAGCCGACGAUCAAGUCGAAACUCUUUUAUUGCGUUACAGUAAGGGAAGUAGUUUAUAUGGGCUUUCAUGUAUGCAAGAAAAACGGUUUAUAAACAGUUGGGGGGAAAAAAACUUUGCUUCAAUCUUGUACCGACCGUUGCUCCCAUAUACAAAAG